rnacentral:rRNA from 1 species
UCGGGUUGUAAAGCACUUUUGUCCGGAAAGAAAACUUCCUGGUUAAUACCUGGGGAGGAUGACGGUACCGGAAGAAUAAGCACCGGCUAACUACGUGCCAGCAGCGCGGUAAUCGUAGGGUGCGAGCGUUAAUCGGAAUUACUGGGCGUAAAGCGUGCGCAGGCGGUUCGUUAAGACAGAUGUGAAAUCCCCGGGCUUAACCUGGGAACUGCAUUUGUGACUGGCGAGCUAGAGUAUGGCAGAGGGGGGUAGAAUUCCACGUGUAGCAGUGAAAUGCGUAGAGAUGUGGAGGAAUACCGAUGGCGAAGGCAGCCCCCUGGGCCAAUACUGACGCUCAUGCACGAAAGCGUGGGGAGCAAACAGGAUUAGAUACCCUGGUAGUCCACGCCCUAAACGAUGUCAACUAGUUGUUGGGGAUUCAUUUCCUUAGUAACGUAGCUAACGCGUGAAGUUGACCGCCUGGGGAGUACGGUCGCAAGAUUAAAACUCAAAGGAAUUGACGGGGACCCGCACAAGCGGUGGAUGAUGUGGAUUAAUUCGAUGCAACGCGAAAAACCUUACCUACCCUUGACACGGUCGGAACCCUGCUG